GACGAACGCUGGCGGCGUGCUUAACACAUGCAAGUCGAACGGAAAGGCCCUGCUUUUGUGGGGUGCUCGAGUGGCGAACGGGUGCGUAACACGUGAGUAACCUGCCCUUGACUUUGGGAUAACUUCAGGAAACUGGGGCUAAUACCGGAUAGGAUCUCCUGCUGCAGGGUGGGGGUUGGAAAGUUUCGGCGGGUGGGGAUGGACUCGCGGCUUAUCGGCUUGUUGGUUGGGUAGUGGAUUACCAAGGCUGUGACGGGUAGCCGGCCUGGGAGGGUGACCGGCCACAUUGGGACUGAGAUACGGCCCAGACUCCUACGGGAGGCAGCAGUGGGGAAUAUUGCACAAUGGGAGGAAGCCUGAUGAAGCAACGCCGCGUUCGGGAUGACGGCCUUCGGGUUGUGAACCGCUUUCGCCUGUGACGAAGCGUGAGUGACGGUAAUGGGUAAAGAAGCACCGGCUAACUACGUG
rnacentral:rRNA from 1 species